GCUUACGGCCAUACCACCCUGAGCGCGCCCGAUCUCGUCUGAUCUCGGAAGCUAAGCAGGGUCGGGCCUGGUUAGUACUUAGAUGGGAGACCGCCUGGGAAUACCAGGUGCUGUAAAAU
rnacentral:rRNA from 1 species